rnacentral:rRNA from 1 species
CAAUAGCGUAUAUUAAAGUUGUUGCAGUUAAAAAGCUCGUAGUUGGAUUUCUGGUGGGAGCGAUCGGUCUGGCGCUUAGCGCGAGUACUUGCAUCGUCUCCGGCCAUCCUAGGGGAGAGUCUGUCUGGCAUUAGGUUGUCGGGCAGAGGAUCCUCAUCGUUUACUGUGAAAAAAUUAGAGUGUUCAAAGCAGGCUUAUGCCGUUGAAUAUAUUAGCAUGGAAUAAUAAGAUAGGACUUUGGUACUAUUUUGUUGGUUUGCGCACCAAAGUAAUGAUUAAUAGGGACAGUUGGGGGUAUUCGUAUUCCGUUGUCAGAGGUGAAAUUCUUGGAUUUACGGAAGACGAACUACUGCGAAAGCAUUUACCAAGGAUGUUUUCAUUAA